GUGUUCCUGUGGUUGUAAAGUAAGAAUGGAGCAUUGUUCCAGUGCAAUUGUGUCAGUGAUAGUAUGUAGAUAGUAGUACUAUGUAGAUAGUAUGCAGAAUCAAAUCUAUUUUAUGAAGUUCACAUGGCCUUUGGAGGAGAUGGGAUGAGUUCAGAGUUCACAAAACAGAAAUCAGCUGUGGGCUCCUGAGUAUGUAGAAAGCCUGUUUGGCUCAGGUUCUUGAGAAGUCUUGGAAGACUGUUGUUAUGUACCCUUGUCCUGACCUUGCCCGUUUCUUCUUGGGCAUCCACUGUUGGAAAAAGGAUAGUAGCCUAGAAAGAGCUCUAGAGUGCCCUGCAGAAGCCUUCUUGAUACAAGAUUUAAGAAGUCAUUUCCAGAAGAGAUUACUUUCCAAUAUAUUCCAUAUCAGCACUAUGCUGAUUAAUUUUUAAAUAGGUUAACUGAAAGAACAAAUGAAUCAUGGCUGUUGAUCAGGUGAAAGUUCUGGCUUAUAUGCCAGUGAGAUUCCCCUAUUAACCCUUUUUUAAUUUUUCCAGUUGCAUCAUAGCAAGUGUGAGACCACAUUGCCUUUAUUGACAGAAUCCAUGAUGGUUUUCUUUCUGUAAGCUGGGAAAGGCUUCUACCACAAGAAAAUCAACUCAUUUCUACCAGCUACUCCUUGUAAAAGGUGUUAUCUGAUAAUGUAAGGGAGCCUGUGGCUAUCCAGAAGGGAAAGGGCUCUCCACAGGAUCAUUGAAGCUCCUGAAGUUUCACAAUAUAUACACUUAAAAAGCCUGAGGGUCAAUUCAGAUUUUAGCUAAGCUAAAUUGUGUUGUUUAGGAGAUAAAUGGAGAGCAAACAUGAUACGAUCUAAUGUUUUGUCUUCAUAAAGUCCAGUGAAGUUUUUCGGUUGAACUUUUCAACUCCUGCCAAAAAUGGUAAAUACAACCCUAGUAUCUAUGCCUGUAUUAACUCAAGCAUUAAAUUAUUUCAUCUCUUUUCUCAUGGAGGAAGAAAGAGGAAAAAUAAAACCUCUUUUGCAUUUCAAUCUGAAUUUAUGUAACCAGAAAAAAUGGAAGGAGAAAAUAUCAGUCUUUGCAAAAGUACUGAUGCCAUCUUAGCUGAAUACUUAAUAUAUUAAUUAUUAUAAGCUGAAUAUUUAAUAACAAGUACUAUGUGGAGGCAAGCUGAAGGCUUCUCAGCAUCUAGCAGUAUUUAUAAUUUGUUUUAAAUUGUAUUACUGCCAUCCUCUACCUUAGUUUCCAUCUUUGGUUCUCCAAAAUCUGAAUCCUCUCUUAUCACAAGGAAAAUCUACUAGUGAUGUUUCCUGAGCAUGUAAAAAGACACGUGGAAAGGAAACUCACUUUUUUACUAUGUGAAGUAAAACAUUGGCAUGAGAAUGUUUGUCACCAGGUUUGUUCAAAAAAUCAAACCGCUUUAGACUAGAAUAAAAUUGCUCUCCAUCUGUGUCUAAACAUAAAUGAUCUAAAAUAUAAACAUCCUACAUGUUCAAAACUAGAACAAUGUUAUAUCAAUAGAAGCCAAUAUUGUUACUUUAUUCUUCAAAAUAAGUGCAAAACAAGAAUAAUGACAUUUUACUUAAAGUUAAAGUUUUAAUUUAAGCAGGUUUUGUUAUGUUGUUAUUUUUUUUAAGAUCAAAAUAAGUUUCCAAGAAAGUUUACAAAGUGGUAGAUAGAAAAUGUGAUUGAAAGCCAACCAACUUAGAAUUAACCUCUGCAGCCAACUAGAAAUGAAAAUUAGCAGUGAGGAAGAUAAAUAGCUAGCUUGUUUUCUCAUUUACCUGAAUGGAUGUCAAAAAUACAUCAAAAACAAACAGAAUAAGACUUGGAACUGAAUCAUUAGUACCAUUUUUAAAAAUACUUGAAACUUGUGACUCUUCAAUGUGCAGGUAGAGAAUGUUCAAGGAAUAUAAUACAAUUGGUUUGCAUCAGUUGCAAAAAAAGCAUUAAUUUGGGGUUUAAUGGAUUUAUUCUCAUUUUUCCAAGGGCUUUAUAUCUCGUAUGCAUUUAGUAAAGUGUUUACUGUAAAAACAGUAUUUGUCCAUUACAGCAAAUGUAUACACCUGAGUAUUGCACCAGUUUUUGAGAUGUUGUUUAUUAUACUGCUUAUUUUAUUUAAAGUGUUACUGUACUGACUUUCUGACAGUAGUCUGAAAGAAGUGUCAAAAACUUUCAGCAUUAAUUGCUGUUUACCAAGAAUUAUGUAGGUUUCUUCCUUUUUUUAUGGGUACACAUAAUCAACACUGCAUACUUGAGUAAUCAGAAUAUUUCUUUCUUUAUUAGUGCUUUUCACAGCGUCAGAAAGGUUUUCCUGCUUUGCUUUCCCAACUCUCCAUGAGCAUGCUAGAUACUCUGUUCUCCUGUCUAGGGACAUCUGCUCUGGGACGGAUGAGGUGAAGGAAGGAGGUUGCUGGGGAAGGCACCUCAAUAUUUCCCCUCAUUUCCUCUUCUUUCCUCGCUAUCCUUGACUUGUCCUUUGCUGCCCUGGUGGGAGCUGGGCAGUAAACUGCCCCAAAGAUGUCUCCUCAGCAGAAGGUCUCCCAGGAAUGACUUGGCUGUUUCUGCUUCAUGCCACCUGCGCAGACAUCACAAGAGGCCGAGUUAUAUUUUUACCUGACACGAGCUCUCUGACGUGAAAAAUGAACUUUUGCCCUACAUGUAUGUGAUACUGUUCUGUUGAAUUGUUUUCUGUCUAAAGUACAUGUUUCUCAGUGGGAAACACUUCCAGCUAAUCAAAAAGCACUGGAUAAAUACACUUGGGUAAAAGGAAGCAUGUUGGUAAUAUAAACCAUAUAUCAGUAACAUCUGUAUUUUAAACCUGGUUGAGCAAAGUAAGAACAAAUAACUACUGAUAUUUACGAAAACCUUUUAUAUGGAUUACAUAAAAGCAAACAUCUUAGAGAACGCAGUCACUGAAAAAAAAUAGGAGAUUUCGAUUAAUUCUUUAAACCCUUUAAAUGUAGCUUUAAAAUUAUAUGCACAAUCUGGCCGGCUAAGCUUUUACUGUCUUCCUUUAAGGUUGAGAUUAAUUACAGGUCAGUGUCACACACAUUUCCACAAUGCAUAGUAAAACCCUGGAAUGAAAUAAGCUUCACUUGAACAUUUGAUUAGACAAGAUAAUGUAUUUCCCCCUGGAGUAGUUUGUUAUUCAAAACAAGCUCUUUAGGGAAGGAAGUUCACAUCAGUUGGUAACUGUUCCUGUGGAUACCAAAGAACUUUGUACAGUACACACUACAGUAAAUUGCACUGCAGGUCAUUUAGAAGCUGGAAGCCUGUCCCGGGUCUAAAAGUAUCAAAAUGUAUUUUACAAAAAAAAGCUAGAUAGCAAGAAAACAGCAGUCUGUGAUAUUAGAAAAACAAACAGCACACACAUAUUUACAGAGACAUUCAUGUUUUAUCUAGUCAAGAAAUUGCACCUUUCUAGCAGAUGAAUUUUAGAAAUGCUGUUUUACGCAUUGUCAUAAAGAAAACAAUUUAAAAAUUGACUGUAAACUGAUACCUUUAGAUGCAAUAUGGAACUGAAUAACUUCCAGCUUUAAUUUUCCUGUAAACCUAGUCGUAAAAAUAAAACUGAAUAA